rnacentral:lncRNA from 1 species
UGAAGCAGAAUCCAGUGAUCAAACUAAACAGCUCUUAAUGUUCAUCCAUCAAGAAAAGCAAAAUUUGAGGUUCCUCCUCCUCAAAGGUGGAAGCAGAUUUUCAUAAAGGAGAUUUGAUACCAGCAUCCUCUUGGACCACGGGAUUGACCCGAAUUCUAUCGAAAGACUUAUUAAUUACUCGAUAGAAAGUAAAUUUGGGUUCAAACAAUUCUAACUUAUUGUAAUAAAAAAAAUAUCAAAGAAAGUAUAUAUCACUUGUUUGAACUGUGAUGGUUCCCCAGUUUUACUCUUUCUUCCAAGGCCAUUUGAUAGCAUAAAAGGCGCAAAUCUAACAAGGGUAUAGUUACAAGGCCUGUAUUCCUUGCAAGCUUGUAAUGUUAUGAAAAUAGCUAUAAAUUAUUUCAAUAGAAAAAGCUCUUUUUUUUCUUUUCUGUUUUUUUAGGCAAGUUAUUAUUUCUGUAUCUUUUUUCUUCUGUUUUUGAAUAAUUUGUUGUUCUUUUCUUACUGUGAUAUGAUUUUCCAAAAUAAAUAUACAUGUCCUCGUAUACAAUACUCUCUAUAGCUCCUCCAUCAACUUAAUUUUACAUUUAGAGGCAGACAAGAGUGCCUAACCAUUGGUAGAGGUGUUUGUACCCAAUUUUGGUAAAUCGGCCCUUGAAAUAUUGACCGAUUGAUAAGGAAAAUUUGGUGCUUUAUUAACAACAUAUCAAUAGAAUUUUAUUAUGAAAUUCUAUUAUAUAUUAACCAUCGGACAAGAAAUUAAAAGGAAAGACAAUAACGGCGAUUUCUCAUAAUUGCCAAUGUGCCGAUAUAUAAAAGGGAAGAAAAUAACGGUGAUUUAUCAUAAUUGCUGAUAUAUAAUCGAGGAAGAAAAUGACGGCGAUUUAUCAUAAUUGCCGAUAUAUAAUCGAGGAAGGAAAUGCCGGCGAUUUAUCAUAAUUGCCGAUAUAUAAUCGAGGAAAGAAAUAACCGAGAUGUAAUUGCGUUUGAAGGCAUUGAUGACAAUAUUUCAUGAGCAAGAGACAAUCGAUUCUAACAAUGCCUCAUGAAGAAAGUAUAUAUGGUGCGAUUAAGAAAUGAGCAAUAUAGAUCAUAAUCUUAAUUCAAGUCAUUAAGACCGAAAUUCAAAUAUUUAGUUGUAUUCUAUUUUUUUAUGAGAAAUUUUAUUUACACAUGUCACAUAUCUAAAUGCACACCCAUAUUUUUGUAAAAAUUUAAUUCCUCUUUUAUCCCUCUUUAAAUUUUUUUUUGACAAAAGCAAAUGAGAAAAAAAAAACUACUCAAUGUUGUCGAAACCUCUGGAGGUAAUGAACUAAUAAUUCAUUCAAGCAAUGGCUAAGGUUCAAUUUAUUCAAUUGAUCGAGCAAGUGAAGAACUAAGGAUCAACUCAUAGUUACUGAAUCAAAUGGGAAAAAAAAAUGAAUAGUACUCUUUUAUUUUGUAUUGUCAAACACCUCCGCAGGUGAAGAACUAAAAGAUUAAUUCAUUCAAACAAGUAUUCAUAUAGGACUGUUUGGAUUUACAGUAAACAUAAUUGCAGCUCUGCAAUUUUUAUAGGAGAAUUUAUUGACUGGUAUAGAUGUUUCACGUCAUCAAAAUCUCUAAUUCUCUCAUUUUUAUUGUUUGUUUAAUUCAGUAAACUUAUAGAUAUUUUAGUUCACUAACUUAGAAUUAUUGUUUGAAAAACAGAUUGAUAAAGAGAAAGGGGGAUGUAAUUGCGGUUGUUGCAGUCUUGUAGUUGGCGAAGCGAGGGAAAGAAUUGAACUUUAAGAUAGUGAAAGAUGAGGAAGAAGAGAGGGAGGGUAAAUGAGCAAAUAAUGGGUAAAAAAUGACCAAAAUUUUUUAAGAGUUAUGUAUUAAGUAAACAGGGAUAUGUUAAUAAAGUUACUCUUUUUUUAUUGUGCAUUUGUAAUUGUAUAUAUUCAACCCUCAACCUCAUUGUAAAGGGUCAUCGACCAACACAACUCAAUUUAAUACAAAUACCAAGUUCUCUACAAAUUCUCUACAAUAUCGAUCAUUUUUUUUCUUGUUCUAUCGUAUUUUUCUUCUUCUUUUUAUCGCUUUUUAACUUUCUUCAAUUUAUUUUCAUACAAUUUAUCCUUCCGCAUCUUUAAAGUUCCAUGCAAUUUAGAUUUCGUUAUUUUACUACUUCAAUUUCCGUUCUUUAAGCUUCAUGCAAUUUAGAUUUGGUUCUUUUAAUUUCCGCAUUUUUAGGUUUUCGCAAAUCUAGAACUAUUAUCGGUGAAAACGUUAAAAGUCCUUGCAACAAAGGUAAGAGAACCUAAAGGCCGAAACGGUUCAUUUCUCGACCUACAAUCACUUGGAAGAAGUCAAUUUAGACGCAAAAUUAAUUAAAACCUCGCUUGGUCAUUUGGAUGCGAGUUGGCAUGCCCGCGCACAACCAAGAAUGAUGAUUGUUCUCAAGACCCUCAACCAUCAUCUCGGCCGAGACGAUUUUUUAGCAAACAAGAGGAGGAUGGCUCAUCUUGCCUAUCCAGGGCAUUGUACUAAUAUUGGAUGCCAACAAUUCAAUUACUUAAUGUAAUGCAAUCCUUUUUAAUUAAGUUCUAUAUAUUCCGAAUUUUCGAUCGAUCACUAGUUGAACCGACUCAGACUUGAUCGAUCGAGCAAUGUUUACUUUUGAUGUAUGAGAGCUUACCUGAUCUAGUCACUCCAAAUCAACAGUAUGACAAUACAAUAUUCAGAUCUGUAAAAAUCCAAAGCAACAAAAACACAACAGAUCCUAUAUCAAAUGUUUCAACAGAUGUAUCAAUAUAUCGUUUCUUCUGCGAUCAAUCCCACAUUGAAAUGACUGUGUCAUAGAAAACUUGAUGGAAGGAUAUGAGCUUGAGGGGGUCGUCCAACCAAACUCUCUCAUUGACGCGACACUGAUAAUUCAUAAUAGGGCUAGCAGGCAAAGACUCAUCCCUAACCGCAAUGACAAGCGUGUACAAGUCUCCUUCUACCAGCUGAGAAAGCCCACUGACCACUCUCUGGAACACCAACGAUUUCAGGGAUUCCUUAUUGAACUCCGACACGGCGAACUCCGCGAUCUCUUUCAGGUGUGCGUCGUUGAUGUUCACGCGCUGGGGACCCAUUCCGGCAAGUAACUCUUUGAGGGGAGCGAAAAGAAAGAGGGAGAGGAGGAGGAGGAGGCAGUUUGGACGCAUCUUGAUGAUGGUUUGGUUUGCGGUUGGUGGCUGGAGGCUAGGCUAGCGCUCUGCUUGCCUUCUUUAUAUAACAAACCGAGGUACGUAGAAUCCUUGUUGGGUUUGGAGUGCGGUAGUAGUGUCCUUGGCGAUCAACGCACAUUGGGUGCGACUUUUUGUGGCAUUGAAAUAAACCAUUAUUCUAGAAGAAAAUUAAAUCCUAAUUAAAACUGGAAAACAAGAGAAUCCUAUCUUAAUCCAAAAAAAAAAAAAAAAAAAAAAACGAUAAGAAACAUUUCAGCUCAAAAAUGAGUGCUUAGGACGGCCUUCAGUGAUACUACUGAGAGUAAAAGCAACAGUGAAUCUAAACUGCUUCCAGUGUUGAUAGGUUGAAAGCUAAACUGGUUGAAAGUAGUAUUGAUGAUGUAUAUAUACGUGAAAACCAAAGGGAAUUCGUCAUUCCUCUGCAUUGAUCAGUAACAUCUCAUGACACGACGAAAUAUGAUGACUCAAGGACACGCCCUCACGCAGUCACGCCUUUAGUUGUAGCCAGCAUACAGAAACUGGUUAUCAAGUUAUAAACCCUCCAUUUACUGUGCUGAGCUUAUGAUCAACUUUUACCAACACCAUCGUUACAGUAAUAUAUUCAUGUAAUCACAUCAUCAUUAUUAUAAACUGAUGAGAGCAUUUAUACCAGUAAAUCUUCUGUUACUUAGAUCUGAAUCUGUGGCAUAAUCUCCUGCAAAUUUCAUGUACUUUAUAAUUCAUGAAGAAACAUCAACCUCUAAAAGAGUCAGACCAUAUAUCAUACUGUUCCACGUCAACUUCUAAACUUAUGAAGCAGAAUCCAGUGAUCAAAGAACUAAACAGCUCUUAAUGUUCAACCAUCAAGAAAAACAAAAUUUGAGGUUCCUCCUCCUCAAAGGUGGAAGCAGAUUUUCAUAAAGGAGAUUUGAUACCAGCGCUGCCUGCAUUCAUGCAUUGAGACCAGCCCAAUUCUUGAAAGCAACAAGUGCUUCCAUUUUCCUAAAACUCCUCUUUCUCAAUUUUGACACUUUAAGCUU